CCAAUAGCGUAUAUUAAAGUUGUUGCAGUUAAAAAGCUCGUAGUUGAAUUUCGAGAUCGGCUUACUGGUCGUGCUUUUGUACGUACUGGUAUAAUCGGUUUCUCCUUUCUGACGAACUUUAAUGCCAUUAAUUUGGUGUUUUAGGGAAUCAGGACUGUUACUUUGAAAAAAUUAGAGUGUUUAAAGCAGGCUCACGCUUGAAUACAUUAGCAUGGAAUAACGGAAUAGGACGUUUGAUUCUAUUUUGUUGGUUUCUAGGAUCGACGUAAUGAUUAAUAGGGAUAGUUGGGGGCAUUAGUAUUCAAUUGGCAGAGGUGAAAUUCUUGGAUUUAUUGAAGACUAACUACUGCGAAAGCAUUUGCCAAGGAUGUUUUCAUUAAUCAAGAACGAAAGUUAGGGGAUCGAAGACGAUCAGAUACCGUCGUAGUCUUAACCAUAAACUAUGCCGACUAGGGAUCGGAUGAUGUUAAUUUUUUAAUGACUCAUUCGGCGCCUUACG
rnacentral:rRNA from 1 species